rnacentral:rRNA from 1 species
UACAGAGGUCUCAAGCGUUGCUCGGAAUUACUGGGCGUAAAGGGCUCGUAGGCGGCCAACUAAGUCGGAUGUGAAAUCCCCAGGCUUAACCUGGGAACUGCAUCCGAUACUGGAUGGCUUGAAUCCGGGAGAGGGAUGCGGAAUUCCAGGUGUAGCGGUGAAAUGCGUAGAUAUCUGGAGGAAUACCGGUGGCGAAGGCGGCAUCCUGGACCGGCAUUGACGCUGAGGAGCGAAAGCCAGGGGAGCAAACGGG